rnacentral:rRNA from 1 species
GACAGAGGAUGCAAGCGUUAUCCGGAAUGAUUGGGCGUAAAGCGUCUGUAGGUGGCUUUUUAAGUCCGCCGUCAAAUCCCAGGGCUCAACCCUGGACAGGCGGUGGAAACUACCAAGCUGGAGUACGGUAGGGGCAGAGGGAAUUUCCGGUGGAGCGGUGAAAUUCGUAGAUAUUCGGAGGAACACCAGUGGCGAAGGCGACCACCUGGACAAAGACUGACGCUGAGGUGCGAAAGCGUGGGGAGCAAACAGG